rnacentral:rRNA from 1 species
UAGGGAAUCUUCCGCAAUGGGCGAAAGCCUGACGGAGCAACGCCGCGUGAGUGAUGAAGGUCUUCGGAUCGUAAAACUCUGUUAUUAGGGAAGAACAAAUGUGUAAGUAACUAUGCACGUCUUGACGGUACCUAAUCAGAAAGCCACGGCUAACUACGUGCCAGCAGCCGCGGUAAUACGUAGGUGGCAAGCGGUAUCCGGAAUUAUUGGGCGUAAAGCGCGCGUAGGCGGUUUUUUAAGUCUGAUGUGAAAGCCCACGGCUCAACCGUGGAGGGUCAUUGGAAACUGGAAAACUUGAGUGCAGAAGAGGAAAGUGGAAUUCCAUGUGUAGCGGUGAAAUGCGCAGAGAUAUGGAGGAACACCAGUGGCGAAGGCGACUUUCUGGUCUGUAACUGACGCUGAUGUGCGAAAGCGUGGGGAUCAAACAGG